rnacentral:lncRNA from 10 species
AAGAUCACUUUUUCAAAGUUUCAUCCUCUGGACUCCUUGCUUUCUUCCAUAAAACCCAUCCAAAGGCCCUGCUGGGCUACUGACAGCUCACUAUCCCUGCAUGUCAACUCUUUACCUGUGAACAAUUAUGCAAGCACAGCCCUCCUCAGUUCCCUGAAGACCUGAAUGAAGCCAGGGUCUCAGGUGUGAGGUCAUAGAUCGGAGUAAGAACCAACUUUUUCUUAUUAGUUUUGUGACACUAGAAAAGUUAUUGUGGGUUUUGGGGCCUUUCGACCUGUACAGUGGGUAACAUGCCAGCAUCUCCUUUUUUAGGGUAUCUCCUUCCUCAUCAGUGACAGCAAUCAGAGCACGAUUAUGAAGUAGACUGGACAUAAGCACCACAUUUUGGGUGUCACUGUCUCCCAUCACCCCCUAAUGGAACUGUCUAGUUGCAGGAAAACAAGCUCAGCGCUCCCACUGAUUCUACAUUAUGGUUGGAUGUUAACCUGAUGUGGUGCUCUUGGAGAAGCUUGCCUGAGUUAGGCACUUUCUCAG